rnacentral:rRNA from 1 species
UACGAAGGGGAGCUAGCGUUGCUCGGAAUCACUGGGCGUAAAGCGCACGUAGGCGGCUUUGUAAGUUAGAGGUGAAAGCCCGGGGCUCAACUCCGGAAUUGCCUUUAAGACUGCAUCGCUAGAAUUGUGGAGAGGUAAGUGGAAUUCCGAGUGUAGAGGUGAAAUUCGUAGAUAUUCGGAAGAACACCAGUGGCGAAGGCGGCUUACUGGUCCGGUACUGACGCUGAGGUGCGAAAGCGUGGGGAGCAAACAGG